GGGGGUGUUCCGGAUUCGACCGUGGUACCGGACGACUCGGUUGCGCGUAGGAGAUGAUGCUUGGCUCCUUAAAAAUCGCAUCAAAAACCAUAAAUGGCACGUCUAACGUGAUCAGCUUCCCUAAUCAGGAAGCGCUAGCAGCUUAAGCUGUGCGUCCACGAUGGCCCAUGCUCGCUAAGCCGUCGGGGCGACUAAAAAGCGGGCGCAACCUCCUCGCGUUGGGCUGUUUUGCGGAGGCUAAACAGGGUAAGGCAGUCUAGGCCCGGUAGGUGUUCCUUCCUGAACAGGGCUUAAAAACAUUAAGAGAACUACACGCGUAGACACCGUUUAAGAAAGACCAUGGGACGCGGGUUCGAUUCCCGCCACCUCCACCA
rnacentral:tmRNA from 1 species